rnacentral:snoRNA from 2 species
GCCGCUGAUGAAAUCGCCCAAUGUUUUGGAGGCUGCAAUCGGCUUCAAGUUCCUGCCUAGCAGGAAGAACCUACUUGGAGCCGCUGCACUCAUAUGACAACACCGGGCUAAUCUGAGGU